GGGGGUGUAACUCAGUGGUAGAGUGCGUGCUUCGCACAUUCUUCGGUAUGGAUGCAUCGAAGGUCGACGACUGCACGAAGUCCAGGGUUCAACUCCCUGCUCCUCCA
rfam:Rhodosporidium toruloides NP11 unplaced genomic scaffold Scaffold8, whole genome shotgun sequence.